ACAUCCUAUGCAAACAAAAAUUAAAAAUAAGUUAGUGACACAGCCAGCCAUAGAUAUCAGAAAAAAAUAAUCAAAUAAGAAAUGAAACGGAGUAAUAUUGAGCCCAAGAAGAACGACCAGUGGGUGGUCCCACUCGGGAGCUUCACCGCACGGCGGUGGGACCCCAAGGAUGCCCCUCUUCCUGCCGGCGGAAACGUCCAGUGGGCCCAUGGAAAGGCCGUGGAGGACUGGGCCAAUGUCUUCGCGUCGGAGGA
rnacentral:lncRNA from 1 species